CAGAGGGGGCCAGCGUUAUUCGGAAUUAUUGGGCGUAAAAGGCGCGUAGGCGGCUUUGCGUGUCUUCCGUGAAAUCCCUCGGCUCAACUGAGGACGUGCGGAAGAAACUGCAGGGCUGGAGUCCGGGAGAGGAGGGUGGAAUUCCCAGUGUAGCGGUGAAAUGCGUAGAUAUUGGGAGGAACACCGGUGGCGAAGGCGGCCCUCUGGACCGGUACUGACGCUGAUGCGCGAAAGCGUGGGGAGCAAACGGGAUUAGAUACCCCGGUAGUCCACGCCGUAAACGAUGGGCACUUGGUGUCGCGGGUAUCGACCCCUGCGGUGCCGAAGCUAACGCAUUAAGUGCCCCGCCUGGGGAGUACGAUCGCAAGGCUG
rnacentral:rRNA from 1 species